GAGGGUAUAGCUCAGGGCUAGAGCAUGUGCUUAGCAUGCAUGAGGUCCUGGGUUCCAUUCCCCAGUACCACUG
rnacentral:tRNA from 1 species